CCUACGGGUGGCAGCAGUGGGGAAUAUUGCACAAUGGGGGAAACCCUGAUGCAGCAACGCCGCGUGAGUGAUGACGGCCUUCGGGUUGUAAAGCUCUGUCUUCAGGGACGAUAAUGACGGUACUUGAGGAGGAAGCCCCGGCUAACUACGUGCCAGCAGCCGCGGUAAUACGUAGGGGGCUAGCGUUAUCCGGAAUUACUGGGCGUAAAGGGUGCGUAGGUGGUUUCUUAAGUCAGAGGUGAAAGGCUACGGCUCAACCGUAGUAAGCCUUUGAAACUGGGGAACUUGAGUGCAGGAGAGGAGAGUGGAAUUCCUAGUGUAGCGGUGAAAUGCGUAGAUAUUAGGAGGAACACCAGUUGCGAAGGCGGCUCUCUGGACUGUAACUGACACUGAGGCACGAAAGCGUGGGGAGCAAACAGGAUUAGAUACCCCAGUAGUC
rnacentral:rRNA from 1 species